CGUGAGUGAAGAAGGCCUUCGGGUUGUAAAGCUCUUUCGGAGGAACGAAACGGCGAGCUCUAACAUAGCUCGCUAAUGACGGUACCUGAAGAAGAAGCACCGGCUAACUACGUGCCAGCAGCCGCGGUAAUACGUAGGGUGCGAGCGUUAAUCGGAAUUACUGGGCGUAAAGCGUGCGCAGGCGGUUGUGUAAGACAGGUGUGAAAUCCCCGGGCUUAACCUGGGAACUGCGCUUGUGACUGCACGGCUAGAGUAUGGCAGAGGGGGGUGGAAUUCCACGUGUAGCAGUGAAAUGCGUAGAGAUGUGGAGGAACACCGAUGGCGAAGGCAGCCCCCUGGGCCAAUACUGACGCUCAUGCACGAAAGCGUGGGGAGCAAACAGGAUUAGAUACCCUGGUAGUCCACGCCCUAAACGAUGUCGACUAGGUGUUCGGUGAGGAGACUCAUUGAGUACCGCAGCUAACGCGUGAAGUCGACCGCCUGGGGAGUACGGUCGCAAGAUUAAAACUCAAAGGAAUUGACGG
rnacentral:rRNA from 1 species